GCUUGCUGCAUGCUUUAUACAUGCAAGUCGAACGAAGGCCCUAGCUUGCUAGGUGUCCUUAGUGGCGCACGGGUGAGUAACACGUGGGAACAUACCUUAUAGUACGGAAUAACUGCGGGAAACUGUAGCUAAUACCGUAUAUUCCAGUAAUGGGAAAGAUUUAUCGCUAUAAGAUUGGCCCGCGCAAGAUUAGCUUGUUGGUGAGGUAAAAGCUCACCAAGGCUUCGAUCUUUAGCUGGUUUGAGAGGAUGAUCAGCCACACUGGGACUGAGACACGGCCCAGACUCCUACGGGAGGCAGCAGUAGGGAAUAUUGGACAAUGGGGGCAACCCUGAUCCAGCAAUGCAGCGUGAGUGACGAAGGCCUUAGGGUUGUAAAACUCUUUCAUCGGUGAGGAUAAUGACAGUAGCCGAAGAAGAAGGACCGGCUAAUUCCGUGCCAGCAGCCGCGGUAAUACGGAAGGUCCUAGCGUUGUUCGGAAUUACUGGGCGUAAAGCGCAUGUAGGCGGAACAGAAAGUUAGAAGUGAAAUCCCUGGGCUCAACCUAGGAAUUGCUUUUAAAACUUCUGUUCUGGAAUUCAGGAGAGGAAAAUGGAAUUUCCAGUGUAGAGGUGAAAUUCGUAGAUAUUGGAAGGAACACCAGUGGCGAAGGCGAUUUUCUGGACUGAUAUUGACGCUGAGAUGCGAAGGCAUGGGUAGCAAACGGGAUUAGAUACCCCGGUAGUCCAUGCAGUAAACGAUGGGUGCUAGUCGUCGGACUUUUGUUCGGUGUCGUAGCUAACGCGUUAAGCACCCCGCCUGGGGAGUACGGU
rnacentral:rRNA from 1 species